rnacentral:rRNA from 1 species
GGGAAGACCGGUGCCAGCCGCCGCGGUAAUACCGGCAGCUCAAGUGGUCGUCGCUUUUAUUGGGCCUAAAACGUCCGUAGCCUGUUUGGUAAAUCUGUGGGUAAAUCAACCUGCUUAACGGGUUGAAUUCUGCAGAGACUGCCAGACUAGGGACCGGGAGAGGUGUGGGGUACUCGAGGGGUAGGGGUAAAAUCCUGUCAUCCUUCGAGGACCACCAGUUGCGAAGGCGCCACACUGGAACGGAUCCGACGGUCAGGGACGAAGCCUAGGGGCACGAACCGGAUUAGAUACCCGGGUAGUCCUAGGUGUAAACGCUGUGAACUUGGUGUCGGGGGUCCGCAAGGGGUCCCCGGUGCCGGAGUGAAGAUGUUAAGUUCACUGCCUGGGGAGUACGGUCGCAAGGCUGAAACUUAAAGGAAUUGGCGGGGGAGCACUGCAACGGGAGGAGCGUGCGGUUUAAUUGGAUUCAACGCCGGAAAACUCACCAGGGCCGACUGUUAGAUGAAGACCAGCGUAAUGAGCUUGUCGGAUUUUCAGAGAGGUGGUGCAUGGCCGUCGUCAGUUCGUACUGUAAAGCGUUCUGUUAAGUCAGAUAACGAACGAGACCCUCAUCUCUAUUUGCAACCCGUCUCUCCGGAGGCGGCGCACUAUAGAGAGACCGCUGGUGUGAAACCAGAGGAAGGCGAGGGCAACGACAGGUCAGUAUGCCCCGAAUGUCCUGGGCUACACGCGCGCUACAAAGGACGGGACAAUGGGAAGCCAGGCCGAGAGGUCGAGCUACCCCGAAACCCGUUCAUAGUUCGGAUUGAGGGCUGUAACUCGCCCUCAUGAAGCUGGAUUCCGUAGUAAUCGUGUUUCAAUAUAGCACGGUGAAUAUGCCCCUGCU